rnacentral:misc_RNA from 1 species
GAGCAUGGUCAUUACAAGAGCCAUAGGAAGUUUUCAAAAACUGAAACCAUAAGGUGGCAUUCAAUUAUUCUAUAAAUCCACGUCAAAUCCAAUACACUUCAAGAUAGAACACUGGAGCAUUCAAGGUAUUCUGUGUCUUCCUAGCAUAAACGGACACCAUUGCAGAUGUCUAAAGAAUCACAAUUAGCCUUGAUUCCCAAAAUAAAAAUAUCAGUUAGCUCUUUACCUCCAACAACAAAACUAAUCUUCUAUAAACAGUGGUCUGCUCAAAGCAAAAAUUUUUAGGCUUUACAGUACCAAAAAGCUAAAACCUUAUGCUCAUAUAUUGAAUAAAGAUUGA